AGCGAACGCUGGCGGCAGGCCUAACACAUGCAAGUCGAACGAACCUUUCGGGGUUAGUGGCGGACGGGUGAGUAACACGUGGGAACGUGCCUUUAGGUUCGGAAUAACUCAGGGAAACUUGUGCUAAUACCGAAUGUGCCCUUCGGGGGAAAGAUUAAUCGCCUUUAGAGCGGCCCGCGUCUGAUUAGCUAGUUGGUUGAGGUAAUGGCUCACCAAGGCGACGAUCAGGAGCUGGUCUGAGAGGAUGAUCAGCCACAUUGGGACUGAGACACGGCCCAAACUCCUACGGGAGGCAGCAGUGGGGAAUCUUGCGCAAUGGGCGAAAGCCUGACGCAGCCAUGCCGCGUGAAUGAUGAAGGUCUUAGGAUUGUAAAAUUCUUUCACCGGGGACGAUAAUGACGGUACCCGGAGAAGAAGCCCCGGCUAACUUCGUG
rnacentral:rRNA from 1 species